rnacentral:rRNA from 1 species
AUUGAACGCUGGCGGCAGGCCUAACACAUGCAAGUCGAACGGUAACAGGAAGAAGCUUGCUUCUUUGCUGACGAGUGGCGGACGGGUGAGUAAUGUCUGGGAAACUGCCUGAUGGAGGGGGAUAACUACUGGAAACGGUAGCUAAUACCGCAUAACGUCGCAAGACCAAAGAGGGGGACCUUCGGGCCUCUUGCCAUCGGAUGUGCCCAGAUGGGAUUAGCUAGUAGGUGGGGUAACGGUUCACCUAGGCGACGAUCUCUAGCUGGUCUGAGAGGAUGACCAGCCACACUGGAACUGAGACACGGUCCAGACUCCUACGGGAGGCAGCAGUGGGGAAUGUUGCGCAAUGGGCGCAAACCUUAUGCAGCCAUGCCGCGUGUAUGAAGAAGGCCUUCGGGUUGUAAAGUACUUUCAGCGGGGAGGAAGGGAGUAAAGUUAAUACCUUGGCUCAUUGACGUUACCCGCAGAAGAAGCACCGGCUAACUCCGUG